rnacentral:RNase_P_RNA from 1 species
GAUGAUCGCUGCCGCUCGCGUCGCAAGGCGUCGGGCGGGGGAGGAAAGUCCGAACUCCGCAGGGCAGUGUGCCGGAUAACGUCCGGGACGGAGGUUUCAAGACCUCUGGACGGCAAGUGCAACAGAGAACAUACCGCCUCAGGCUGAUGACCGCGCAAGCGGCCAUGCACGCGGCCCGGGGUAAGGGUGAAAAGGUGCGGUAAGAGCGCACCGCGCGCCCAGUAAUGGUCGCGGCAGGGUAAACCCCACACGGAGCAAGACCAAAUAGGCAGGGAUGUUGCCGCUCCUCUCCAGGCGGCAGCAAGCGUAUCGGCCCGAUGCGCCCAGGCGGAGAGACCCUUCGGGGAGCCAAAACCUGCGGGUAGGUUGCUAAAGCGCCGCAGUAAUGCGUCGCGUAGAGGAAUGAUCGUCUAG